rnacentral:rRNA from 1 species
UGAGCGGGAAGUGAAUUUGGAAGAAGGCGAGAAAAGCUGUGUGAAUAGAAGAUAGAGCCCGUACCGCAAACCGACACAGGUAGAUAGGAAGAAGAUUCUAAGGCCAACGGGAGAAGGGUUGUUAAGGAACUCGGCAAGUUGACCCCGUAACUUAGGGAGAAGGGGUGCUCUUUAAGGAGAGCCGCAGAGAAUAGGCCCAAGCGACUGUUUAGCAAAAACACAGCUCUAUGCUGAAUCGAAAGAUGACGUAUAUGGGGUGACACCUGCCCGGUGCCGGAAGGUUAAGAGGAGGAGUGAGAGCUCUGAAUUGAAGCCCCGGUAAACGGCGGCCGUAACAAUAACGGUCCUAAGGUAGCGAAAUUCCUUGUCAGGUAAGUUCUGACCCGCACGAAUGGUGUAACGAUUUGGGCACUGUCUCAACAACCUGCCCGGCGAAAUUGUAGUACCGGUGAAGACGCCGGUUACCCGCGACUAGACGGAAAGACCCCAUGGAGCUUUACUGCAGCUUAAUAUUGAAUUUCGGUAUUUCAUGUACAGGAUAGGUGGGAGACAGGGAACCAUAGGCGUCAGCUUAUGGGGAGUCGACCUUGGGAUACCACUCUUGAGGUGCUGGAAUUCUAACCUGUGGCUCUGAAUCGAGUCAGGGGACAUUGUUAGGCGGGCAGUUUGACUGGGGCGGUCGCCUCCAAAAAGGUAACGGAGGCGCUCAAAGGUUCGCUCAGCAUGGAUGGAAACCAUGCUUUUGAGUGUAAACGCAAAAGCGAGCCUAACUGCGAGACUGACGGGUCGAGCAGUAACGAAAGUUGGAGUUAGUGAUCCGGCGGUAUGUGAGUGGAAAUGCCGUCGCUCAACGGAUAAAAGCUACCCUGGGGAUAACAGGCUGAUCUCCCCCAAGAGUCCACAUCGACGGGGAGGUUUGGCACCUCGAUGUCGGCUCAUCGCAUCCUGGGGCUGAAUUCGGUCCCAAGGGUUUGGCUGUUCGCCAAUUAAAGCGGUACGCGAGCUGGGUUCAGAACGUCGUGAGACAGUUCGGUCCCUAUCUGUCGUGGGCGUAGGAUAUUUGAAAGGAGCUGUCCCUAGAACGAGAGGACCGGGAUGGACGCACCGCUGGUGCACCAGUUGUCAUGCCAAUGGCACAGCUGGGCAGCUAUGUGCGGAACGGAUAAACGCUGAAGGCAUCUAAGCGUGAAGCCGACCUUAAGAUAAGAUAUCCCUUCGUAAGAGUAAGACCUCUCAUAGACUAUGAGUUUGAUAGGCCUAAGGUGUAAGCACAGUGAUGUGUUCAGCCUGCAGGUACUAAUCGGUCGAGGGCUUUUCC